CAUGAAGUUGGAAUUGCUAGUAAUCGCGAAUCAGAAUGUCGCGGUGAAUACGUUCCCGGGCCUCGUACACACCGCCCGUCACACCAUGAGAGUCGAUAACACCCGAAGCCUGUGAGCUAACCUUUUAGGAGGCAGCAGUCGAAGGUGGGGUUGAUGAUUGGGGUGAAGUCGUAACAAGGUAUC
rnacentral:rRNA from 1 species